UACGGAGGAUCCGAGCGUUAUCCGGAUUUAUUGGGUUUAAAGGGUGCGCAGGCGGAAGAUUAAGUCGGUGGUGAAAUUUUGCAGCUCAACUGUAAAAGUACCAUUGAUACUGGUUUUCUUGAGUGUGGAUGAAGUAGGCGGAAUUUGUGGUGUAGCGGUGAAAUGCAUAGAUAUCACGAGGAACUCCGAUUGCGCAGGCAGCUUACUAAACCAUAACUGACGCUCAGGCACGAAGGCGUGGGGAUCAAACAGGAUUAGAUACCCCCGUA
rnacentral:rRNA from 1 species